rnacentral:snRNA from 1 species
GGAUGUGAGGGCGGUCUGGCUGCAACAUCUGUCACCCCAUUGAUUGCCAGGGUUGAUAAGGCUGAUCUGGCUGGCUAGGCCGGUGUUCCCUUCCUCUCAUGGAUCCAUGUGCUUCCCUCCUGAAGCUGCACACUAGGUCGAAGAGGACUGCCUUCCCCUACAGAGACAGACUGGUCUUCUGUUGAGGGUAUAUGAUG